rnacentral:rRNA from 1 species
CUACGGGGGGCUCCAGUGAGGAGUAUUGCACAAUGGGGGGAACCCUGAUGCAGCAACGCCGCGUGGAGGAUGACGCAUUUCGGUGUGUAAACUCCUUUUAUAUGUCAAGAAAAUGACGGUAGCAUAUGAAUAAGCACCGGCUAACUCCGUGCCAGCAGCCGCGGUAAUACGGAGGGUGCAAGCGUUACUCGGAAUCACUGGGCGUAAAGGACGCGUAGGCGGGUUGGAAAGUCAGGUGUGAAAUCCUACAGCUUAACUGUAGAACUGCACUUAAAACUUCUAAUCUAGAGUAUGGGAGGGGGAGAUGGAAUUAGUGGUGUAGGGGUAAAAUCCGUAGAUAUCACUAGGAAUAUCUAAAGCGAAGGCGAUCUCCUGGAACAUUACUGACGCUAAGGCGUGAAAGCGUGGGGAGCAAACAGGAUUAGAUACCCCUGUAGUC